AGUGAACGCUGGCGGUAGGCCUAACACAUGCAAGUCGAACGGCAGCACAGUAAGAGCUUGCUCUUACGGGUGGCGAGUGGCGGACGGGUGAGGAAUACAUCGGAAUCUACUUUUUCGUGGGGGAUAACGUAGGGAAACUUACGCUAAUACCGCAUAUGACCUACGGGUGAAAGCAGGGGAUCUUCGGACCUUGCGCGAUUGAAUGAGCCGAUGUCGGAUUAGCUAGUUGGCGGGGUAAAGGCCCACCAAGGCGACGAUCCGUAGCUGGUCUGAGAGGAUGAUCAGCCACACUGGAACUGAGAAACGGUCCAGACUCCUACGGGAGGCAGCAGUGGGGAAUAUUGGACAAUGGGCGCAAGCCUGAUCCAGCCAUACCGCGUGGGUGAAGAAGGCCUUCGGGUUGUAAAGCCCUUUUGUUGGGAAAGAAAAGCAGCAGGUUAAUACCCCGCUGUUCUGACGGUACCCAAAGAAUAAGCACCGGCUAACUUCGUG
rnacentral:rRNA from 1 species